rnacentral:rRNA from 1 species
UUCUUAUGGAGUGGAUCAUAAGUAACGCCUGCUCAAUGAGAUUAAAUAGCUGCAGGAGACUGUACUAAGGUAGCAAAAUCAUUAGUUUAUUAAUUGUAAACUGGAAUGAAUGGUGAAAUGAAUAGGUUAAAGUAUUUUUAUAAAGAUUUGAAUUUUAAUUUUUAGUCAAAAUGCUAAAUUAAUUUUUAGGGACGAGAAGACCCUAUAAAGCUUUUAGGAUAAUUAUUUUUUUUAAAAAUAAUAGAUCUUUUUUGUUGGGGAAAUAAGGUAAGAAUGGAUUUUACUUUUGAGCCAAAAGUUUUGAUUAUAAGAAAAAGUUACUUUAGGGAUAACAGCAUAAUAAAAGAAAUGGAGUACAAAUUCGUUUUUUUGAUUGUGACCUCGAUGUUGGAUUAAUAAAUUCUUUUGGGAGAAGAAGCUCAAAAAGAUAGUCUGUUCGACUAUUAAAUUUUUACA